rnacentral:rRNA from 1 species
GGAGGAUCCUGAGUACGGCGGAACACGAGAAAUUCCGUCGGAAUCCGCGGGGACCAUCCCGCAAGGCUAAAUACUCCCUAGUGACCGAUAGUGAACCAGUACCGUGAGGGAAAGGUGAAAAGCACCCCGGAAGGGGAGUGAAAUAGAUCCUGAAACCGUGUGCCUACAACAAGUCAAAGCUCGUUAAUGAGUGAUGGCGUGCCUUUUGUAGAAUGAACCGGCGAGUUACGAUUGCAUGCGAGGUUAAGUCGAAGAGACGGAGCCGCAGCGAAAGCGAGUCUGAAUAGGGCGAAUGAGUAUGUAGUCGUAGACCCGAAACCAUGUGAUCUACCCAUGUCCAGGUUGAAGGUGCGGUAAAACGCACUGGAGGACCGAACCCACGUACGUUGAAAAGUGCGGGGAUGAGGUGUGGGUAGCGGAGAAAUUCCAAACGAACUUGGAGAUAGCUGGUUCUCUCCGAAAUAGCUUUAGGGCUAGCCUCGGAAUUGAGAAUGAUGGAGGUAGAGCACUGUUUGGACUAGGGGCCCAUCUCGGGUUACCGAAUUCAGAUAAACUCCGAAUGCCAUUCAUUUAUAUCCGGGAGUCAGACUGCGAGUGAUAAGAUCCGUAGUCGAAAGGGAAACAGCCCAGACCACCAGCUAAGGUCCCAAAAUAUAUGUUAAGUGGAAAAGGAUGUGGGGUUGCACAGACAACUAGGAUGUUGGCUUAGAAGCAGCCACCAUUUAAAGAGUGCGUAAUAGCUCACUAGUCGAGUGACCCUGCGCCGAAAAUGUACCGGGGCUAAACAUAUUACCGAAGCUGUGGACUACACCAUUAGGUGUAGUGGUAGGAGAGCGUUCUAAGGGCGUUGAAGGUCGAUCGUGAGGACGGCUGGAGCGC